rnacentral:rRNA from 1 species
AUUGAACGCUGGCGGCAGGCCUAACACAUGCAAGUCGAGCGGAUGAAGGGAGCUUGCUCCUGGAUUCAGCGGCGGACGGGUGAGUAAUGCCUAGGAAUCUGCCUGGUAGUGGGGGAUAACGUCCGGAAACGGGCGCUAAUACCGCAUACGUCCUGAGGGAGAAAGUGGGGGAUCUUCGGACCUCACGCUAUCAGAUGAGCCUAGGUCGGAUUAGCUAGUUGGUGGGGUAAAGGCCUACCAAGGCGACGAUCCGUAACUGGUCUGAGAGGAUGAUCAGUCACAGUGGAACUGAGACAGGCACAGGCCCCAUAGGGGGGGCAGCAGUGGGGAUUAUGGAAAAAGGGGGGAAACUUUGACCCAGCCAUGCGGUGUGUGUAAGGAGGUUUUUGGGUUUAGAAAGCAUUUUAAGUUGGGAGAAAGGGAAAAAAUUAAAUACCUUCCUUUUUGGAGGUCCCAAAAAAAAAAGCCACGGGCAACCUUGGUC